rnacentral:rRNA from 1 species
AACGAACGCUGGCGGCGUGCUUAACACAUGCAAGUCGUACGAGAGAGCUCCCUUCGGGGAGUGAGUAAAGUGGCGCACGGGUGAGUAACGCGUGGGUAACCUGCCCUAGAGACCGGGAUAACUGACCGAAAGGUCCGCUAAUACCGGAUACGCUUCUCAUUUCUUCGGAUUUGGGAAGGAAAGAUGGCCUCUCGAAGAAGCUGUCGCUCAAGGAUGGGCCCGCGUCCCAUUAGCUUGUUGGUGGGGUAAUGGCCUACCAAGGCUACGAUGGGUAGCUGGUCUGAGAGGAUGAUCAGCCACACUGGAACUGAGACACGGUCCAGACUCCUACGGGAGGCAGCAGUGGGGAAUAUUGCGCAAUGGGCGAAAGCCUGACGCAGCAACGCCGCGUGGGUGAAGAAGGCCUUCGGGUUGUAAAGCCCUGUCAGGUGGGAAGAAAUGUCAGAGAUGAAUAGUCUCUGGCUUUGACGGUACCACCAGAGGAAGCACCGGCUAACUCCGUGCCAGCAGCCGCGGUAAUACGGAGGGUGCGAGCGUUGUUCGGAAUUACUGGGCGUAAAGCGGGUGUAGGCGGUGGAUCAAGUCAGAUGUGAAAGCCCUCGGCUCAACCGAGGAAGUGCAUCUGAAACUGGUUCGCUAGAGUACGGGAGAGGAGAGUGGAAUUCCCAGUGUAGAGGUGAAAUUCGUAGAUAUUGGGAGGAACACCGGUGGCGAAGGCGGCUCUCUGGAACGAUACUGACGCUGAGACCCGAAAGCGUGGGGAGCAAACAGGAUUAGAUACCCUGGUAGUCCACGCCGUAAACGAUGGGCAUUAGGUGAAGGGAGUAUUGACCCUCCCUGUGCCGACGCUAACGCAUUAAAUGCCCCGCCUGGGGAGUACGGUCGCAAGAUUAAAACUCAAAGGAAUUGACGG